rnacentral:lncRNA from 1 species
CCAAAACAAAGCAGUUUCUCUCAGUACACUACACACCUCUGUACCUCAGCUGUGAAUUGGAGAAAGACAAACUCAAAAAAUAAAGAUUUAAAAUAACACCUUUCACUGUACAACUCAAGCUUUCUUAGGUAAAUAAAGGUGCGACCCAGCGAGGUGACAAUGAGCUGAGGCGACACUCCUGUUUCCAGAGGUUCCUAUAAAAGCUUCUGGACUGAUGGAAAUCCAGCAGAGUUUGUGAAGUGUACCUGCACAGAUCGGACUCGGCCUCGUCCCUCCAGGAGAAGGUGAUCUACACUCAAUAACCGUCAUCAUGAAGAAGCUGACGUUCGUGUUUGUCUUCUGGCUGAUCAGCACAGCUUUUAUGGAGACAACAGCUGCUCCAACAGCAUCUGCUGCCCCACAGGGGACUGUCAUUGACGUAAUAAUCGGAGCUUUUCUCAACACACAAACUACUGCAAAAACAACAACCUGUGCCCCAUUAGCAGCUGCUACACCAACAACUACGACAACAACCACUAAACUAACAACAACAACAACAACUGCUGCACCACAAGCCACUACAACAAAAACUACUCCUUGUCCAGGUCCAAUGCCUCCUGGACCAACAACUACUACAUUAAAAACAAAAUCAACAGAAGCAGCUUCUUCCCUAAGUCCAACAACUGUUACUACAUUAACAACAACAACAACAACAACAACCACUAAGCCAACAACUACAACAACUGCUGCACCACAAACCACUACAUCAAAAACCACUCCUUGUCCAGGUCCAAUGCCUCCUGGACCAACAACUACUACAUUAAAAACAAGAACAUCAACAGAAGCAGCUUCUUCCCCAAGUCCAACAACUGUUACUACAUUAACAACAACAACAACAACAACCACUAAGCCAACAACUACAACAACUGCUGCACCACAAACCACUGCAACAAAAACCACUCCUUGUCCAGGUCCAACAACUGCUAAUCCAACAACUCUUGAACCAACAACUACUACAUUAACAACAACAACAACAACUGCUAAACCAACAAUUACAGAGACAACUGAAUUAACGGAAUCAACAAUGAAAACAACAGCUAAACCAACAACUACAACAACUGAAACAAGUGAAUCAACAAUGACAACAACUGAAUCAUUAACAACAACUAAAUCAAAAACUACAACAUCUGCAAAACCAACAGUUACAGCAACUGCUGCACCACAAACCACUACAGCAAAAAACACUCCUUGUACACCACCAACAACUGCUAAUCCAACAACUGAAUCAACUGCAACUGAAUCAACAACUACAACUUCAACAACUGAAUCAGCAACAACUGAAUCAACAACUCCAGCCACUGUUAAACCAACAAUUAGAGCAACUCAACCAAAAACUACAACAACUGCUGCACCACAAACCACUACAACAAAAAACACUCCUUGUCCAGGUCCAACAACUACAUUUAAAACAACUGUUACUACAUUACCAACGACAACCACUAAACCAACAAGGCCCACAACUGACAGACCGACUAUGACUACAUUCCCAACAUCUAGGUCAGGAACAAUAACAUCUGUGACACCAACAAAAACUAGUGACUCAACAACAACAAUUGACAAACCAACAACUGCACAAACAGUUACUACCUCCAUCAAAACAACAGCAGCGACAACAGCUGCUUCCCCCAAAACAACUGCAGCAACGACGACCGUUUCCCCUAAAACAACUGCAACAACAACAGCUUCUUCCCCCAAAACAACUGCAGAAUCGACAACUGGUUCCGCCAAAACACCAGCAGCGACAACAGCUUGUUCCCCCAAAACAGCAGCAACAACAGCUGCUUCAUCCAAAACGACAGCAGCCACAACAACAGAUUGUUCCCCCAAAACAACUGCAGCAGCAACAACUGCUUCCCGCAAAACAAUUGCAACAACAACAGCUGCUUCCCCUAAAACAACUGCAGCAACAAAGACUACCUCCGCCAAAACAACAGCAGCGACAACAACAGCUGCUUCAUCCAAAACAACAGCAGCAACAACAGCUGCUUCCCCUAAAACAAGUGCAGCAACAAAGACUACCUCCGCCAAAACAACAGCAGCGACAACAACAGCUGCUUCAUCCAAAACAACAGCAGCAACAACAGCUGCUUCCCCUAAAACAAGUGCAGCAACAAAGACUACCUCCGCCAAAACAACAGCAGCCACAACAAUAGCUGGUUUCCCCAAAACAACUGCAGCAACGACAACUGGUUCCCCCCAAAAAACUGCAACAACAACAGCUCCUUUCCCCAAAACAACAGCAGCAACAAAGACUACCUCCGCCAAAACAACAGCAGCAACAACAGCUGCUUCAUCCAAAACAACAGCAGCAGCAACAGCUGCUUCAUCCAAAACAACAGCAGCAACAAAGACCACCUCCCCCAAAACAACGGCAGCAACAACAGCUGCUUCUCCCAAAACAACUGGAAAAACAACAGCUGUUUUCCUCAGAACAACAGCAGCAACAACAGCUGGUUCCUCAAAAACAACUACGCAAAGGAGAACAGUUUCCCCCAAAACAACUUCACAAAGAAGAACAGUUUCCCCCAGAACAACUGCGCAAAGAAGAACAGUUUCCCCCAGAACAACUGCGCAAAGAAGAACAGUUUCCCCUAAAACAACAGCAGCAACAACAACAGCUGCUUCCCCCAAAACAACUGCAGAAACAACAACUGGUUCCCCUAAAACAACAGCAGCAACAAAGACUACCUCCGCCAAAACACCAGCAGCGACAACAACAGCUUGUUCCCCCAAAACAACAGCAGCAACAACAGUUGCUUCAUCCAAAACAACAGCAGCCACAACAACAACUUGUUCCCCCAAAACAACUGCAGCAGCAACAACUGCUUCCCGCAAAACAAUUGCAACAACAACAGUUCCUUUCCCCAAAACAACAGAAGCAACAAAGACCACCUCCCCCAAAACAACAGCAGCAACAACAACAGCUGCUUCCCCCAAAACAACUGCAGAAACAACAGCUGCCUCACCCAAAACAACAGCAGCAACAAAGACUACCUCCGCCAAAACAACAGCAGCGACAACAACAGCUGGUUCCUCAAAAACAACUACACAAAGGAGAACAGUUUCCCCCAAAACAACUGCGCAAAGAAGAACAGUUUCCCCCAAAACAACAGCAGCAACAACAACUGCUUCCCUAAAAACAACAGAAAUGACAACACCUGCUUCCCCUAAAACAACAACAGCUGAAGCCACAACAACAGCUGAAUCCACAACAACAACAGCUGAACCCACGACAACAACAACUGCUAAACCAACAACAACACCUCCUAAACCAUCAUCAACAACAACAACUGCAAAACCUACAACAUCUAAAACAACAAUUGCACCAAGCACAACUUCACUAAAAACAACUCCUAACCCCAAAACAACUGCAACAUCUACACAGAGUGAAUCAACAAAAACAACCACAUGUAACUCGACAAAUCCACCACCAACAUCAGCUGGUUCCUCUAAAACAACAGCAACAACAGCUGGUUCCUCCAAAACAACAGCAACAACAGCUGGUACCUCCAAAACAACAGCAACAACAGCUGGUUCUUUCAAAACAACUCCACAAAGAACAACAUUUUCUCCCAAAACGACACAGGCAACAACUGCUAAACCCACAACAACAAAAACUUCUCAACCAACAACAACAUCAACAGCUGAACCCACAACAACAACAACUGCUGAACCCACAACAACAACUGCUGAACCCACAACAACAACAGCUGAACCCACAACAACAACAGCUGAACCCACAACAACAGCUGAACCCACAACAACAACAGUUGAACCCACAACAACAACAACUGCUGAACCCACAACAACAACGACUGCUGAACCUACAACAACAACAGCUGAACCCACAACAACUACUGAACCGACAACAACAACCGCUGAACCCACGACAACAACCGCUGAACCCACAACAACAACAGUUGAACCCACAACGACAACAACUGCUGAACCCACAACAACAACAACUGCUGAACCCACAACGACGACUGCUGAACCUACAACAACAACAGCUGAACCCACAACAACAACAGUUGAACCCACAACAACAACAACUGCUGAACCUACAACAACAACAGCUGAACCCACAACAACAACAGCUGAACCCACAACAACAGCUGAACCCACAACAACUACUGAACCUACAACAACAACUGCUGAACCCACAACAACAACAGCUGAACCUACAACAACAACAGCUGAACCUACAACAACUUCUGAACCUAACACAACAGCUGAACCAACAACAACAGCUGAACCCACAACAACCAUGGCUGAACCCACAACAACAACAACAACUGCUGAACCAACAANNNNNNNNNNNNNNNNNNNNNNNNNNNNNNNNNNNNNNNNNNNNNNNNNNNNNNNNNNNNNNNNNNNNNNNNNNNNNNNNNNNNNNNNNNNNNNNNNNNNCAACCACCGAACCCACAACAACCGCUGAACCCACAACAACGACUGCUGAACCCACAACAUCAACAGCUGAACCCACAACAACUGCUGAACAAACAAUGACAACAAAACCUUUUGAACCCACAACAAUGACUGCUGAACCCACAACAACAACAGCUGAACCCACAACAACUGCUGAAUCCACAACUACUGAACCGACAACAACAACCGCUGAACCGACAACAACAACCGCUAAACCCACAACAACAACAGUUGAACCCACAACAACAACAACUGCUGAACCCACAACAACAACAACUGCUGAACCCACAACAACGACUGCUGAACCUACAACAACAACAGCUGAACCCACAACAACAACAGCUGAACCCACAACAACAGCUGAACCCACAACAACUACUGAACCAACAACAACAACUGCUGAACCCACAACAACAACAGCUGAACCUACAACAACUUCUGAACCUAACACAACAGCUGAACCAACAACAACAGCUGAACCCACAACAACCAUGGCUGAACCCACAACAACAACAACAACUGCUGAACCAACAACAACAACCGAACCCACAACAACCGCUCAACCCACAACAACGACUGCUGAACCCACUACAACGACAGCUGAACCCACAACAGCAACAGCUGAAUCCACAACAACUGCUGAAAACACAACAACAACUCCUGAAUCAACAAGAACAACAACUGCUGAAACCACAACAACAGCUGAACCCACAACAACAACAGCUGAACCCACAAUUACAACUGCUGAACCCACAGCAACAACAGCUGAACCCACAACAACUACUGAACCAACCACAACAGAUGAACCCACAACAACAACUGCUGAACCCACAACAACAACAGCUGAACCCACAACAACAACAGCUGAACCUACAACAACAGCUGAACCUACAACAACUUCUGAACUUACAACAACAGCUGAACCCACAACAACCUCUCAAGCACCACCAACAACAAACACUUCUCAACCAACAACAACAGCUGAACCCACAACAACAACUGCUGAACCC